CGCAGGAAAAGAAACUAACCAGGAUUCCCUUAGUAGCGGCGAGCGAAGCGGGAAGAGCCCAACAUGAAAAGCCUUUCGGGGCGAUGUAUUGAUAGAGCGUCCUUGAGGUGUCAAUUCAGGUAAGUGUGCAUGAAAAUGCCCGCCGCGGAGGGUUAGAGCCCCGUCCAGCCUGGAUUCGUAGCUUCGUACACGGAUCGUUUCUAAUGAGUCGGGUAGCUUGAGAAUGCUGCCCUAAUAUAGGUGAUAAAUCUCAUCUAAGGCUAAAUACUGGUGGGAGACCGAUAGCGAACAAGUACCGUGAGGGAAAGUUUAAAAGCACUUUGGAAAGAGGGUGAAAAGAACCUGAAACCGUUACGAAGGAAGCGAAUUGCGUUGUCAGGGUGCAUUGUCGAGUAAUGUUCAGCCGUUCUGGUGUAGUGAUUGCUUUUGACGCUGCCGUCGUGGGCUAACAGAUAGGUCAAAGUGAAGAGCUAUCGCAACAUCGUAGCCAUAUGAGUACCCCGCAAGGGGGACGACGGAGGACUGACGCGAUUCGACCCGUCUUGAAACACGGACCAAGGAGUCUAGCAUAUAUGCGAGUCGUAGGGUGAUAAAACCUGAGGGCGCAGUGAAAGCGAAUUGUCGAGAACGGGCAGUUUGAGGCGGCAUGUGAUUGUUAAUUGCAAGUCCGACCUGGAGCAUUUAUGCUAGGACCCGAAAGAUGGUGAACUAUACUGGCGUAGGGCGAAGCCAGAGGAAACUCUGGUGGAGGCUCGAAGCGCUGCUGACGUGCAAAUCGCUCGUCGAACGUGAGUAUAGGGGCGAAAGACUAAUCGAACCAUCUAGUAGCUGGUUUCCUCCGAAGUUUCUCUCAGGAUAGCGGGUCGAGGGGUGUUGCUAUGUGCGGUAAAGCCAAUGAUUAGCGUACUGUGGGGAUACUCUUGUCCCCUGACGAUUCUCAAACUUUAAAUGCGCACGGUCGUUGCUGCUUAAUUGAGUGACGAUAGUUAGAACCUCGACUUUGUGGGCCACUUUUGGUAAGCAGAACUGGCGAUACGGGAUGAACCGUAAGUGUGGUUAAGGCGCCAAAUUAUUCGCUUAAUGAUCCCAAAAAAGGUGUUGAUUCAUAUGGACAGCAGGACGGUGGCCAUGGAAGUUGGAAUCCGCUAAGGAGUGUGUAACAACUCACCUGCCGAAUGAAUUAGCCCUGAAAAUGGAUGGCGCUGAAGCGAGUAGCCGACACCACACCGUUUGAUAGAGUUAAUAUUCAAAUGAGUAGGAGGGACGUGGUGGUCGUAACGAAGCAUGCGAGCGAUCGUGUGUGGAACGGCCACUAGUGCAGAUCUUGGUGCUAGUAGCAAAUAUUCAAAUGAGAACCUUGAAGGGCGAAGCGGGGAAGGGUUCCACGCGAACAUUGAUUGAGCGUGGGUAAGUCGUACCUAAGUCAUGUGGCAAUAGCAAAUGUACUGGCGAAAGGGAAGCAGGUUGAUAUUCCUGCACACGGAUGUGGACGCGGUGACGCAUGUUUUGUGGUGAUGACGCUGUCGAUAGCACUGGGCAGAGAUUUCUUUUCUGUUUAACCAAUAUUUGUGUUCUGUGGAAUCCGCUUGUCGGGAGAAACAGGCACAUCUGGGCAGAGCGCCGAGAUUUUUUCGGCGUCCAGUUCGCUGUCGGUGGUCCUUGAAAAAUCAUUCACAGGGUAGAGUAGCUUGACUAUUCUGCUAAUAGACAACUCCACGCCGUUACGUUACCGAUAACCGCAUCAGGUCCCCAAGGUGAACAGCCUCUGUCCGAUAUGAAAAAUGCAGGUAAGGGAAGUCGGCAAAUUAGACCCGUAACUUCGGGAAAAGGGUUGGCUCUAGUGCUGCGCGGAUGUAUGUGACCUCUCUUGGUGUGCUGGGAAGACUGGCUGGUUUGCCGUGUGGAGCAAUCUGCGCGGUGGGCUGGUCGGGACGACUGGUAUUGCUGGAUUGGAUGCUGUCUGCAGAAUGUGGCAAACUAGAACUGCAACGGUCAAAGGGAAUCCGACUGUUUAAUUAAAACAAAGCAUUGCGAGGGCCGUGGCCGGUGUUUACGCAAU
rnacentral:rRNA from 1 species